rfam:Salmo salar isolate Sally breed double haploid chromosome ssa18, whole genome shotgun sequence.
CAUAAUUGUUCCUGUAAGUUGCUCUGGAUAAGAGCAUCUGCUAAAUGACUACUG